UAUAUUCUGUAAAAAAAAAAAAAAAACUUUUUGAGAUCCUUGGGUAUGUGUUUGCUUUACUUCAUUUUAGAAGAAAAUUACUCUUCUAAUAAAAUUAUUUUAUAGCUUCUCCAUUUUUAAAAGUUGUGAGAAAUAUUAAGGAGCAGAACUGUGUGCCGCAGGAGAGUCGAGGUUGGUUCUCUGUUCUGUUACAGCGUCCUUUGAUUACUGCACAGUAGUUCCUGGAGCCAGUAAGCGCGGUGUGUGGGGGAAUCUGAACCCGGACCCUUGACGUAAUGUGAGGUGGUUGUUGCCCUCAUCCAGACCUCUUGAGUAAGGAGAGAAAAGUUGAAAUUGGACUCUAAUGAUAUCUCUUUCUCACAACUGAACAUAAUAAAAGGUUAAUUUUCUAAGUAGUCCUGUCUUUCCAAAAAUGCUUCACAGGGGCUCACAGGUUAUAGGAGAAUCUUGUUAUGAGUUUGUUAUUGCCCGUAUUUGAAUAUACUUGAGACAAUUCCAGAGCCCUACUACAUAAAAUUCCUACAGAGAAAGAUGGAUAUGACCGAGGAAUCUUUACAACACGUGUUGUUCUUGUCUACUGGCCCCAGGACUGUGGAGGGGUUUCGUUGUCUAUAUCGUGACCCACUUGUUUCCCUCUAAGUGACCUUGGUGUAUGUCAUGAUAGUGUUCUGUCCCAUGUAUAUAUGCAGUUCCUAAUGCCAGCACUCAGAACUUCGGACACGUUCAGUCAUUGACAUCACCACUUCUCCCCGCCCAGCUUCGGAAUUAAACUUUUUCACCAAGGAGAUCGUCCUCUCAGAGGUGAUAGCAGGACCUGGGGACUGGCUUUAAGGGGACAGGCCCACUGCAGCUGUAGGUGUUUGUUCUCAGCAUCUCGUAGAGAAUCCCAUUGGUGUUUUUCCCACAAUGGUGUCUUCUAAAAAAAAAAAAAAAAAAGGAUGUGUCCAACUUUGAAUCUCCUGGCUUGAAAUCCCAUAAUUCUUACUUUAGCUCUUCACCUGAAAACCAGUUACUAUUUCUGAUCAUUUUAAUGUAAACAAAACUGAACAGUGAAAUAUUUUGUUACUUGUGGAAUAGAUUCCGGCUCUCAUUUUAUGUGAGCUGUGGGUCAGGGGAAUUAUGGGACAAAGAACUGCCUAGGUGGAUUAAAUUUUCCCAGGACACAACUAGUGUGCCUUGGAUUGAUUAUUACCUCUUCUACUGCAUUGAAAGGUGCCAUGUUUUCCUGAAAUUCCCAACACCUGGGUAAACAGUGACCUCCCGGAGAGUGACUCAUUUACCAUGUCUCUCCCUAGGGUGAGCACCAGAAACAAUUUUGUCAUUCUUGUCUCUUAUUUCCACUUCACGAGUCAGUGAGUGUGUUCAAGGUAAGUACAGGAUUAUUCUAGUAGGAAUAGGCAAUUGCUGUCAUGAUCAAUUCCCACGUUUACUUCAUUUCAUUGUAAAGAUCACUUAAAAUCCAAUUUUGCUUAAGCACAUUGUUGUAAUUUUGGGGGUAUUAUUUGACAUAAGAAAACAGCAGAAUUGAGUGAUAGAUAUAAUAUGAAAUUUGUUGAUGAAUGACUUCAAAUUUAUUAAAAAAGGACUAACUGACUUC
rnacentral:lncRNA from 1 species